rnacentral:pre_miRNA from 1 species
AGGCAAGAUGUUGGCAUAGCUGUUGUGUUACGAGCCUGCUAUGCCAAUGUAUUGCCAUC